UCGAUAUACCUACCUGAGUUUAUUGAAGUAUUUUUUGUGAUAUGAAUGUGUAUGUGAAUAUAAUAGAUUUACAUAUUCAAGUAACACCCAUGUAAGACUUACUGAAAGCCCUAUGGGAGGCCAGCUUUUGUCUGCAAUUCAAUCAUCCCGAGAUAAUAUAAAUGGAUGUUCGGCUACUACCAAAACUCAUCUUCUUCCAUGGCGUAUCCCAUAGUAUUGUUGGUGUCUUUACCUCUUUGGACAAGAAGCCUAGGGUCCACUUGUGAAAAAUGAUCUUGGAUUGGGUUCGUGGUUAAAGGUCCUCAGGGAGUAUUCUAAUGUCGCGUUAGCAUCGCAAGUCACGAAUAAAAAAAUAUACCUAAAUGUAAUGAAAAUAAUAAAUUACAAAAACUUGUAUGUUAAAUUAAAAACCAGUUUUUAUGUACUUUUCUGUAUAGUUGUGUGAAUGUAUAUAUUAUUCUUGCAGAUCGGGUGACAACUACCAAAAUCAAGUCCCAAAAUUAUGUAAUAUCAAAUUUUAGGUUAAUGUGCUUCUUAUGUUAUUUAAUCAUUAAAAUUAUCAAUUUCUCAGUAAUUCUCUGUACCAUGCUAUAAUUAAAUAGAAUAAUAAAUAGGUGAUAUUACAAUAAAAAUAUUGUAGACCUAUGUAUGUCGAUGCCAAAGAUACUGUAGGCUAAUCUCUCAGAUCGUUAAUACAAAGAUUGCAAAAAGAAUUUAAUAAGAAGGCUUCUCCAGUCGUUAUCUUCAAUGAAGAAGCUAUCACCGAACCAUUGACUCACUUGCAGAUAUUUUAAGGACUUAUUUGAUGAUAUGACUUCUAAUUCUGACUCAAAUGUACAUAAGUCGUGACUAACGAGUCAUUGGUGGCGCCUACACAUUUUUAUGUUCGACUUUUAUAAAAGAACAGUUAUCCGAUGUGAGUAUUGAAAUUGUUUAGCUCUUUAUGGAAAUACUUGCCCGUUUUCCAUUUAUAUGAAUAUUUAUUUUUUAAUUUUGAUAAUUAGUACGAUUAUAUAUCAAAAUAAAUACAGUCCA